rnacentral:tRNA from 1 species
GUGUGGCUCAGUGGUAGAGCACUUCCCUGGCAUGCAUGAGUCCUGGGUCAGAUCCCCAGCAC